AACCGAUAUCACAAACACCUG
rnacentral:misc_RNA from 1 species